rnacentral:misc_RNA from 1 species
CUUUGACAAGAUAGCCGCAAAGGGAAGGCUAAAAGAGGAUGAGGCAAGGAAAUAUUUCCAGCAACUUAUAAAUGCUGUAGAUUACUGCCAUAGUAGAGGCGUCUACCAUCGAGAUCUGAAGCCUGAAAAUCUUCUUCUGGAUUCACAUGAUGUUCUUAAAGUGUCAGAUUUUGGAUUGAGUGCAUUUUCGCAGCAAGUGCGAGGGGAUGGUCUUCUUCACACUGCCUGUGGGACACCAAACUACGUAGCUCCUGAGGUCUUCAAUGAUAAAGGUUAUGAUGGUACAUCAUCAGAUAUUUGGUCAUGCGGGGUUAUUCUCUUUGUUCUUAUGGCUGGCUUCUUGCCUUUUGACGAGCCAAAUCUAAUGUGUUUGUACAGAAAAAUUUCAAAUGCUGAUUUUUCCUUUCCAUCAUGGUUCUCAAGUGGUGCAAGAAAACUAGUUUGCCGCAUUCUUGAUCCAGACCCUAUUAAUCGAAUAACAAUAGCCGAAAUUCAAGAAGAUCCAUGGUUCAAGAAGGG